rnacentral:miRNA from 1 species
UUUUUGGUGCCCUGUGGCAAGGUGGAUGCAAUGUGACCCUAGCUCUUGGGUCCUUUGUAUGGGUAGUAACUGUAUUCUGCCCUGUAAGUGGGCAUU